rnacentral:rRNA from 1 species
GCGGUCCCACCUGACCCCAUGCCGAACUCAGAAGUGAAACGCCGUAGCGCCGAUGGUAGUGUGGGGUCUCCCCAUGCGAGAGUAGGGAACUGCCAGGC